GGUAAAACGCGGUUUUGGUGAUUUGUUGAUGCCUAAAAAAUCUAACUUGUUUGAUGAGCCAUGAGCCCCUCAGUGCUCGGUCUGCCGUGCUCCCCCUCCUCCGCAGUACCAUCGAAAGCUUAUGGAGUUCUGGUUGAGGCAGCUCCGAGCAGCCUGGUUUAGUGGAAGGUGUCCCUGCCCACGGAAGGAGUGUUGGAAUUAGAUAUCUUUAAGAUCCCUUCCAAGCCAGGUCAUUCUAGGAUUUUAUGAUAAUUAUAAAUGCAAAACUGACUCUGUAGCUUGUUGGCAAAAAGUAAUCACACAUUUUUCUCCCUUUCCUCAGGCUGAGCUCACAGAAGGAGUCAGGCAGGUGCCAGUGCUGGUGGAAGGGGAGGGGAACAUAUGGCUGGGAACAGAAGGAAGAAAGAAAGUGCAUCCCACUCCAAAUGAAACCAUGAAACCAGGCAGAGCAAGUCCUUCAAGUAAGCCUUUGUGUCCCAAGAGAUGUAUCCAAGAAUAGCAAAUGUUUGAAAUGUUCGUGCUCAAAUUGUUCCACCUUUCUGUUCUUCAUCUGUAAGAUGAAGAUACUAAUAUUAACUUGCCUCAGGAAUCUUGUGAAGAAAAAGCUGCAUUUGUGAAGCAUUGGUUACAGUAAAAAAAAAAAAAAAAAACAAAAAAAAAACAAGAGAAAAUAAACUAAAAUACAUUUUUAGUCAGCACUGCUUCUCAAUGGUUAUUAAAUAAAACCCAAGGCUACUUAGUAAAUAAGGAAGAUUAUAAAAACUUAAACAAUUCAGGAAGCACAAUUCACCUUGCAGCAUUUUCUGCACUGAAAAAGGGUGGGGAUCUGGUGGAAAAAUAAAGUACUUAUGCAAAUGCUGAAAUUA